CUGAUGUGUUAGGUCACCCUAUAAUUCUACAGGGGAAUAUUCUCACUGUAGUGGAGAAGACUGUGGCCUAGGUGGUUGUGCUUAGUCUGCUGCCAAGGUGCUAUCUGUUGAUGGGCAACUUCAGUGCCCCUGCUCUUCCUUCUGUAUCUUUCAGCCAGACCUGGAAUGCCCGGCCAUUCAAAUAGAGGACACCUUCAUACAGAGAACUGUCACCUGUCCACAUCUUAAGCCUCUGACAGCCCUGAAAAUUGACAACUGACUUCUGUAAAAUAGGACACCUGAGCAUCUUAUAUUUGCUCUUCU